GCUAGCGGCCGCCGCGCCGCGCCGCGCCCUCAGCGCCUCUCCCCAGACAAAGGCGCGCGCAGGCUUCUCUCGCCGCAGCCCAAGGUGGGGCGUGAGGCGCUUGCGGCACCCCUUCCCCAGUUUACCUUCCACCCAGGCGGCGGCGGCGGCUCCUCUUCCUCCUCCUCCCCCCUUCAGUGAGACCAGAGAACCCUGACUCUUGUGAGAAAAGGUUAACACAGACCAACUGAACCUGACAGAUCACAGGAACUGGACCUCAAAAUGUAUACAAAGAGCAAAGUUCAAGAAACAGGCAGGUGGAGCUGCUGGGCAGCGCGGAGCGGGUGUACCUCCAGGUGGGGGUGCAGCUGCGGGGCAGCGCGGAGAACACGGCCCCCUCCCUGGGCUUUACGGCGCUGCUGGUGGCCGAGGUGGAUCAGUUCGUGCUCACCGCCCUCACCCCCGACAUGCUGGCGGCCGAGGACCUGGAGAGCCCCCCGGACCUGCUGCUCUUCAGCAUCACCGCGCCCUGGCCCAGCCCCGGCGGGUGGGAAGGCGAGGAUCUCCAGCUGCAGGGCUACCUGCUCAGCACCGACAAGCCCAGCCGGCCGCUCACCUCCUUACACAC
rnacentral:lncRNA from 1 species